UUCUUACACUGCGUUUACUUCUCUGGAGGAAGUUUAAUCCUGUUUGCAGAUAUCAAAUGUGUUAGAUGUUUUCUAAUUUGCAUGCUAUUUCCCCUUUGCUGCAUAAAAUACAGUAAGGAUGAUCGUAGAUUUGCCCUUCUACAAGGAUUGUGUUCUUAUUUCUGAAGUUAUUAAUAUUAUUGGGAUGGAUUAUUGCUGUUCACGGACGGUGAACUAAAACCAAAACUGAAACUACACCAAAAGGACAUGUAAAGUUAGGACUGAAAUGGAAGUUGAUGGGAAAAAAUGUUUACUUUUUCUUGACUACAGCAGCAAGUAUGCCCUACCAAGUUAGAUCAUUCUCCAGCUUCUUUUUCCUCUCGUUUAUGAUAGAGAUGUAGUUUCUGCCUCCAAGAAGAGGGGAAAUAUCGCGGUCAUUCUUUGUCCUUCCUCCACCAGAACCUUCAAGAAUGCUAUGUCGUUGAAGCAAAUGCAAAAUCUCCUUUAUUGAUGGCCUAAAAGAAGCAGCUUGUAUGAUGUGAUUCCUUCAGAAAAAUACCAAGAUAAUCUCAGUAGUGUCUAGUAGAGUUGAUGCUGCAGUCUGCCCCUUAGCUACUUAAAAUUCAGAGUAAGGAUGAUUCAAGAUUUUCCAUUCUAUAAGGGUUAUGCUCCUCAUGCUUCAUUCCUAUGCGAAGAUGACGGUGACCUACAAUUCAACCCAAAACUAUGCCGAAAAGGACAUGUAAGGUGUGUAUUGAGGAGGAAGCUGAUAGGAAAUUUGGUUUAUCUACAUUCAGUUCCUUUGUCUUGACUACAUCAGCAAGGAUGCCCUACCAAGUUUGAUCAUUCUCCAGCUUCUUUUCCCUCUUUUAUGGUAAAUACUUGCUGUUUGAUCUUUACGUUUUGUUGAUUGCUACUUGAUAGCCAAACAAUGUCGUAUAAUAGGUGGUGAUUGUUAAAUUGAGUGGACGUGAGACACAAGAUGAGACGUAAUAGAGAUAAACGAUCUAUCCCAACCGGUUGACUGACUGGCAAGUCUUCCCUCUAUUCUUAAUCGUUGUCCUUUUAAUUUGGUUCACAUAAUUUUACGCGUUGUUGUUUUCUUUGUUCUUUGCAAUCAUUGAUUUGUGAGAAAAAAAUUGUAUGAUUUGAGAUAGAAAAUUUCACCUAUGUGGUCGUAAUUUGCAAGUUAAUGUGAAAGUCACCCUGUAUAGCUGUAAAAAGAUCUAUACUAGUCUGGAACAAAAUUAGGCUAAUACUUAACAGUACCACUCAUAAGUCAAUAUUCAAAACCGUAGGAAAGACUGUUACACACAAAUGCAAUACAAAUACAACAAGAGAUGUCAUUAACAGUUUUUGCAUCUUGGAAAGUAUUGCACUUUGCACACGUUCAAAACUGUGUAUCUUGGGGAACUUGCAAGCUCCCCUACAGCAAAAUUGGCUUCGCCUGACCGGUAGCUUCAUCUGACAUCAUGGAUGUUUUCUCAAACAGGCUCCUCUCAAGACUCAAGAGGAGCUUAUGAGAUUUUUUGCGGCAUUAGUUCCUGAAUUUACGUCAAGAACUUAGUUUGUAAACUUUGGUUAAUGUAGUUAUCUUUAACAUAAUUAUGAAAUGUUGGCCUGCUGCACCUUCUGACUUCGAUGUGUAAUAAGCAAGUGGAAGAUAAAUGUGAUGGAAAAUAUGGAGUUAAAAUGGAACGGCAU